GCUGGGCAUGGUGGUGCAUGCCUGUAAUCCCAGCUACUAGGGAGGCUGAGGUGGGAGGAUCACUUGAGCCCAGGAGUUUGAGGCUCCAGUGAGCCACUGGAGCCACAUCACUGCACUCCAGCCUGGGCAACAGAGCGAGGCUCCAUCUCAA
rfam:Gorilla gorilla gorilla genomic chromosome, chr11, whole genome shotgun sequence